CAGUAGCCACGGUAAUGCAGAGGAUUUAAGCGUUAUCCGGAAUGAUUGGGCGUAAAGCGUCUGUAGGUGGCUUUUCAAGUCCGUCGUCAAAUCCCAGGGCUCAACCCUGGACAGGCGGUGGAAACUACCAAGUUGGAGUACGGUAGGGGCAGAGGGAAUUUCCGGUGGAGCGGUGAAAUGCGUUGAGAUCGGGAGGAACAUCAGUGGCGAAGGCGGCCAUCUGGGACAACACUGACGCUGAGGCACGAAAGCGUGGGGAGCAAACAGGAUUAGAUACCCCAGUAGUCCCUGUCUCUUAUAC
rnacentral:rRNA from 1 species